AAAGAUACGAACUCGGGUUUGAUGGUCGGAGGUCGAGUACAAAGUAUCCUUUUUGAACAGGGACGAAUUUGUUUUGACUAUUGCUCACUCCAUUUUCACUAUCUGUUUGUAUAACCUAUGUUCUUGGUCUCAUAUUCCUAGCUACAACUACACCAAGGGCUUUAACUACACCUACUGAUACACCUACAAUGUCCACCGAUACAACAACAAUGGCGUCUAAAACAUCUUGGUCUGCAUCGAGCGGUGAGUAAGAAUUGAUUGGUUAAAAGUAUCAUUUUAGAAAAUGGUCGGUCUUUCACAUAACAAGUAAGAACUAAUUUGUAAUUAGGUGGGAUAUUGGUAGCUAAGGAGAAGUGAAGUCUUCAAGGMAAAUUUUGAAAAUUAAUUCAAAAUGUGUUAAUGCUGAUGAACCUUAUGGGAGAAGAGGGGAUGCCAAAGGUAUCUAAUACCUCAAAUAAAAUAUAAAGAGUUGAUAAAAUGAAGGGUAAAUGUUACUUAACUAUAGGUGAAACUCACCCAAAACAGCUGGCAACCUUUACCCUUUCAAUUUAACUUCAAGCAAGGCGUAAACAAUCACCUGUAAUACGCUUCAGCCAAAAUAUGGGAUAAAGAUUUUUAACCUAAUAUUUUGAGUUAAAUUCAAAUAUCAGUUGGGGGUAAAGCGAUUUUUACCCCAAACAACUCUGGGUGUGUGAUGAYAAUAGUUACCGAUAGAAAGUURAAACACYMUGAAGACAGGCGAGAAUAGCAGUGACAGUGUACUGAAGUAAAGGAAGGUAAUACAUUUGUAUCAUAAGGUAAUUGUUGAUAAUGCCACAAUCCGUCGGAUCCGUAAAACAUUUAUUCAUAUCCGAAUCCGCAAAAAAAUUGAUAGUUUAAUGGUAUGUGAAUUGCUGAAUUGUGUUUUAUAAAUUUGUGGCGUUUCUUUGAUCCGCACUCUAUAGUGAGUAAAAAUCGAAAUCCGGACAAGAGAAAUGGGUAAAUCCGAAAUCCGCCGCAUUUGCAGGAAGCGCCAAUCCGUUAAAAUUUUAUUCUGAAUUCGAAAUCGGGACUAAAUCAUUUGCGAAACCCGCCAAUCCGUGAACCAAUUCACUCUCCCUUCCUCCCUGUAAUUCCCCCUUGUAGUGACACAGCUUUCAUAGGAAGCCCACAUCAAUCAUUUUAAUGUUAUUAUUGUAGUCAUUUUUUCUGAAAAGAAACUAGAUGAGACAGAAGAAAACAUAUGAAUAUCUGCAUCAGACAAGCAGGACAAGCAAGUGAGCUACAUACCCAUUUUUCUCCACACUGAACCACCACACUCAUCCAGGCCAAACCACUGAUAGAGGACCAUGUGUACCAGGCCUCCUGAGCAGAAGAACUCGACUUCACGCAGUGUAGAAACAUGGACCAAGCUACUUCAAGAUCUCUUGUAAAUGCACUCUAACAACUAAAGAAAGGACAUCGUUAAAUUAUUUACGUACUCUUUAAGAACA